rnacentral:rRNA from 1 species
GAUGAACGCUGGCGGCGUGCCUAAUACAAGCGAGUCGAGCGAACAGACGAGGAGCUUGCUCCUCUGACGUUAGCGGCGGACGGGUGAGUAACACGUGGAUAACCUACCUAUAAGACUGGGAUAACUUCGGGAAACCGGAGCUAAUACCGGAUAAUAUAUUGAACCGCAUGGUUCAAUAGUGAAAGACGGUUUUGCUGUCACUUAUAGAUGGAUCCGCGCCGCAUUAGCUAGUUGGUAAGGUAACGGCUUACCAAGGCGACGAUGCGUAGCCGACCUGAGAGGGUGAUCGGCCACACUGGAACUGAGACACGGUCCAGACUCCUACGGGAGGCAGCAGUAGGGAAUCUUCCGCAAUGGGCGAAAGCCUGACGGAGCAACGCCGCGUGAGUGAUGAAGGUCUUCGGAUCGUAAAACUCUGUUAUUAGGGAAGAACAAAUGUGUAAGUAACUAUGCACGUCUUGACGGUACCUAAUCAGAAAGCCACGGCUAACUACGUG